rnacentral:rRNA from 1 species
UACGUAGGGGGCAAGCGUUGUCCGGAUUUAUUGGGCGUAAAGAGCGUGUAGGCGGCCAUGUAGGUCCGUUGUGAAAACUCGAGGCUCAACCUCGAGACGCCGAUGGAAACCAUGUGGCUAGAGUCCGGAAGAGGAGACUGGAAUUCCUGGUGUAGCGGUGAAAUGCGCAGAUAUCAGGAGGAACACCGGUGGCGAAGGCGGGUCUCUGGGCCGAUACUGACGCUGAUGCACGAAGGCCAGGGGAGCAAACGGG